AAACACGUGGAAGCUGUUCCCACUCUGUAAGGAGAUACAUGGGCAAGUGAUAUAUAGCAGCUGCCACUGUAUUUCCACCAAGACCUGAAGAGCCUCUCCAUCCUCCCUCCAGAGAGAAUCAGGAGGCAUUGUAUGAAGAACAACAGCAAAACCAGGCAGUAAUUGCUGGUGCUUCAAUGCUGGAGGUGACAACUGUGAGGCAUUAGUGUCAUCAAGGAGAAGCAGUCUUUCUGACAAAGUCUGGCCAAGUUACAAGCCAGCUCAACAGCUCGAUGACUCAGCUACCAAGUUCUGCAAUACACUAAUGAUGACAAAAACAAAACAAAACCAUCGCAAAACCUACAGAAACUGAAGUAUGACUCAUACAUGGUGGACAAGGAGGAGCAACAGAAACUGCCCAAGGAGGACAUGACCAUAAAUUUAACAAAAAGUAUAAUGUCGUAAAUAUGCUCAGGGGAUGGAGAGAUGGCUCAGCAGUUAAGAACAGUUGCUGCUUUCACAGAGAACAUGGAUUUCGUUCCUACAGAGCAGCUUACAUGUCUGUAUCUCCAGUUCCAGGGGACCUGGCACCCUCUUCUGGCUUGCACAGGCACCAGGCAUACAUGCAGUGCAUUUUCAUAUAUGCAGGUAAAAGUCAUACACAUAAAAUAAGAAUAGAUGAAUACAAUUAGAGAAAUAAGGAAAUAAUGUUUGAAGAAGCAAAGGAAGGAGCAUUAAGCAGAUAAUUACCAAUGGGAAAUGUCCUAAAGACAUGAAAAGAGCCGGGCGUUGGUGGCGCACACCUUUAAUCCCAGCACUCGGGAGGCAAAGGCAGGCGGAUCUCUGAGUUCAAGGCCAGCCUGGUCUAUAGAGUGAGUGUCAGGACAGCCUCCAAAACAAUACAGAGAAACCCUGUCUCGGAAACCCCCCAAAAAAAAGAGAAAAAAAAAAAGACAUGAAAAGAUAACAAGCACACAGUAGAUUUGAGUGCAGGAGUUAAAAAAAAAGCAGGAAACCAGAUGAAAGAAAAUAGAGAAAAGAUAACGACCGGACUGGAAAUAGCCAUCCCUCCCUUUUUCUGUGUAUCCUUAGCUGUCCUGGAACUCACAGAGAUCCGCCUGCCUCUGCCUCAUCUCAAGUGCUGAGAUUAAAGGCGUGCGCUACCACUUUCUGGCAGGAACUUAUUUCUGAAAAGAGUCCCCAUCUAUGGAUUCUACCAACAGUAAACUUAAGGUACUAAACAA